rnacentral:rRNA from 1 species
UACAGAGGGUGCAAGCGUUAAUCGGAAUUACUGGGCGUAAAGCGCACGUAGGUGGUUUGAUAAGUUGGAUGUGAAAUCCCCGAGCUUAACUUGGGAAUUGCAUUCAAGACUGUCCGACUAGAGUGUGGAAGAGGGAAGCGGAAUUCCAGGUGUAGCGGUGAAAUGCGUAGAUAUCUGGAGGAACAUCAGUGGCGAGGGCGGCUUCCUGGUCCAACACUGACACUGAGGUGCGAAAGCGUGGGGAGCAAACAGG